GCGGCGCGUCCGUGGAAAGUGAAACCCGUCGGCCAGCUUGGAGGGGCUGCGUGCUUUAUAAGCUGCCCGCCACCCCAGGUCGGCACCACAGCAGUCGCAGCGCAACUCUCAGCAGCAGCAGCAGCACUUUGCAGCCGCGAGCACCGAAACCAGCCGCAGGAAUGGCCCUCCUCAAGUGCAUCCUUCUUCUCGUGGUGGCUGUCCUAGCCCUGGUGGCAGCUAACCCCAUUCCGGAGCCAGGAAACCUGGGAGGUGGUAAACACGAGCACUUCAUAAUCCACGUGCCGUACCACGUGCACACAGUACACCACCACCACGUGAAGAAGGUUCACGUGCCCGUCUACAUCAAGGAGGAGCACCAUGGCUGGCACCCGUGGGACUAGGCGCAUA